UACGUAGGGGGCGAGCGUUGUCCGGAUUUAUUGGGCGUAAAGAGCGUGUAGGCGGCCAGACAGGUCCGUUGUGAAAACUGGAGGCUCAACCUCCAGACGUCGAUGGAAACCGUCUGGCUAGAGUCCGGAAGAGGAGAGUGGAAUUCCUGGUGUAGCGGUGAAAUGCGCAGAUAUCAGGAAGAACACCCGUGGCGAAAGCGGCUCUCUGGGACGGUACUGACGCUGAUGCACGAAAGCGUGGGGAGCAAACAGG
rnacentral:rRNA from 1 species